rnacentral:ncRNA from 1 species
GCAAAGUUUUAUUCUAGCUUGGAAUUUGGAUCAAAUUUGAUUUUACAUGCAAGUUUUAGCAUUAAAGUAUAAUUUAAAUAAUUGUAUUUAUUUUGUUGCAGUGAAUAAAUUUAAUUUUCAACGUUAGUUGGAUUUAGAUAUGAUGUUUUAAUACUGACAAAGUUUGUGCCAGCAGUUGCGGUUACACAGACAGUAUUAUUCAAAUUUUUCGGUUAUAGUUAAUUUGUUUAUUUUCUUAACAUUAUAGUUUAUUAGGUGAAAUUUUAAAUUAUUAGAAGGUUUAUUUAAUAAAAUGAGGCUGAGAAACUCCAAUUUAAACUAGGAUUAGAUACCCUAUUAUUAGGAGCGUGAAUUUUGUUUGCCUGAUUAUUAGUAGUUUUGUUCUUGAAAAUUAAAGAUUUUGGCGGUACUUUAGUCCAUUCAGAGGAACCUGCCCUAUAAUCGAUGGUCCACGAUUUUAUCAACUUUUUUUACUAGUUUAUAUAUCGUCGUAGUUUGAAUAUACUAGAAGGUAGAUAAUGUUCAAAAUUCUUUUAGGAAAAAAAUCAGAUCAAGGUGUAGCUAAUAAAAAAGAAGAGGUGGGUUACAAUAAAAAUAUUUUAAAGGAUCAGUAUGUUUGGAUAUACGGGGAAUUCGGAUUUGAAAGUAAUUUAGAUUAAAUUAUCUGGAUGAUUUAGGCUCUAGAGUAUGCACAUAUCGCCCGUCGCUUUCACCCCAAGGUGAAAUAAGUCGUAACAUAGUAGGCCUACCGGAAGGUGGGCCUGGAUAGAC